rnacentral:rRNA from 1 species
UAGGGAAUAUUAGUAAUGGGCGAAAGCCUGAUCUAGCAACACCGCGUGUGCGAAGAAGGCCUUCGGGUCGUAAAGCACUUUUUGGAAGGAAUAGGAAGGAAUGUACUUCCAGAAUAAGUCUCGGCUAACUACGUGCCAGCAGCCGCGGUAACACGUAGGAGGCAAACGUUAUCCGGAUUUACUGGGCGUAAAGCGCGUGUAGGUGGUUCUGUAAGUAGGGCGUGAAAGCUCCUGGCUCAACUGGGAGAGGCCGUUCUAAACUGCAGAGCUAGAGGUUGGUUGAGGGAGGUGGAAUUCCGGGUGUAGCGGUGGAAUGCGCAGAUAUCCGGAGGAACACCAGUGGCGAAAGCGGCCUCCUGGACCAUUCCUGACACUCAGACGCGAAAGCUAGGGUAGCAAACG